rnacentral:ncRNA from 1 species
ACUAGAUUUAAUCAAAUAACGGUACAAAGGUACGCCGGGGAUAACAGGUUAGAUAAAAUCGGGAGUUCAUAUCCUCGGAUUAUAUCAGCACCUCCAUGUCGGCUCAUUACUCCCUUGUUGUUGAACAAUAUUCAAUUAGGAACGAUAGUUCACCGUAAGAUGUAAUACGUGAGCUGGGUUAAGAACGUCUUGAGACAGUUUGUUCCCUAUCUACCAU